GUCAUCUGCCUAGGCCUAAGCUUCAACUUGAGAGCCUGAUUCUUUCUGGAUUUGGCAGUGGGGGCAGACCCUAAAAUUGAGUGCCAGGAACCUACAACAAGCUUUCAUGCGAAGAAGCUGAAAGUCACAAAGCCUGAGUGACUUGCCCAAGGCCACACAGAAACCAGUGUUCAGUCCAGACACUGUGGACCCAGAGCAGAUGCUUGGCCGCUCCACCUAUCUCCACAAAAAGGAGCAAGGAAAAGAGUGAGCUUCAUCUUAGAGCUCCAAGCAAGGUGUCCAGUAAAGGGUUACUGGCUGACUGAAUGAAUGAAUGAACUCUCUGAGCUGUGACUUGUCCAUUUGUAAAAUGGGAAUAAUAUUUGUAAAAUGGUUCCUCCUUUAUAGGGUUGUUGAGGAGUCUAAAUGAUGCCUAGCACAAGGCAUGACACCUACCACCUAAGAAUUCAAUACAACUUAACUAUUAUUAUUAUAAGCCAUAGGAAAGGUAAAUACAGUAUAUAAUAUACAGAGAAAAAGCUUACUUCUCACUAUGGGGAUUGGAGGAAGCUAGCUUCAUGGCAGAAGUGACUUGAAUGGACUUUGAAGAAUGCAUAGGAUCUGGACUUGGACAUGAGGUGCAGGGAAAGACAUUUUAGACAAAGGGAACAGCAUGGAUAAAGAUACAGAGACAGUUUAAGUCUUAAAAUCUUAAUCUUUCCUCAGUUGUACCAUUUCUAGGGUCAGAUCUAAGGAAAUAAUUCUAAAUAUAGAAAAAACAUUAUGUGUAAAGAUGUCCACUGCAGUGUUGUUUAUAAAAGUGAAAACAUAAAAAUAACUGAUAUGCCCAACAAUAAGGAAGUAGUUAAAUGAAUGCUCUUCUGUUCAUCUGAUAUAUUGUCAUGUCUAUUAUAAUUAAAUAUAUAAGAAGUAAUAAAAGAAAAUGUUUAUGAAUGAUGCUAUGUGAGAAAUAAGAGAAAAUGAAUAAUCAUUAUAGUUACAAUUAUAUAAAAACAAAUUCCAAAACCAAAAGUAAUAUUCGGAAAGUCUAGGAGGAAAUAUACCACAAUAUUAAUAGGAGUAUCUUUGAAGUAAUGGCCUUUGGUGACUGCUUUGGGAUAUUGAAAGCAAUCUUUCUUACAUUUAUCAUUUUUUUAUUAUCAUAGCUAAACUUUACUGAGCACUUCCUAUGUACUAGGCAGUGCACUAUUUUACACACAUUACCCAACUUAAUCCAUACAGCCCUGUGAGGAAGGUUAUCUUAUUAGCCUCUUACCAAUAGGGAAACCGAGACUUCUCUAUUUACACAAUGAGCAUAUGUUACUUUUUUUUUUUGAGACAGGGUCUCACUCUGUCACCCAGACUAGAGUGCAGUGGCACCAUUACAGCUCACUGUAGCCAUGACCUCCUGGACUCAAGUGAUCCGCCCACCUCAGCCCCCCAAGUAGCUGGGACUAUAGGUACAUGCCACCAAGCCCAGAAAAUUUUUAAAAAUUUUUGGUAGAGAUGGUGUCUUGCUAUAUUGCUCAGGCUACUUGCAAACUCCUGGGCUCAAGCAAUCCUCCCACCUUGGCCUCCCAAAGUUACAGGGUUACAGGGGUGAGCCAUCAUGCCCGGCCUAUUACUUUCAUUAUAGGAAAUAUUUACUACAUUUAUUUAAUAUUUUGUUAUUAAAAGACUAGAGAUGUCAGUCCCUCCUUUUUUUUUUUGCUACUUCAAACAGUGUUAUAAUAAGCAUCGCUGCACAUAUUUUCUCAUUAUUGCUACUCUUAUUUCUGUAAAUUACAUUUCUUAAAGUGAUAUUUUGGGUCAAAAUAUAUGUGUGCCUUUUUUAUUCUGAACUAAUUUUAGACUUACAGAAACGUGCAAAUAUCACACAGAGAUUGGCAAUAAAAAGGAAUCAAAUACUGAUACAAGUACAAUUUGGAUGAACCUGGAAAACAUUAUACAAAGUAAAAGAAAGCCAGGAACAUAUUAUAACAUUCCAUUUAUACAGAAUGUCUGGGAAUCAGUAAAUCUAUAAAAACAGAAAGUAGAUUGGUGGUUGCCAGGGCCUGAGAGGCAGGUAGGGAAUGG
rnacentral:lncRNA from 10 species